CCUACGGGAGGCAGCAGUGGGGGAUAUUGCACAAUGGAGGAAACUCUGAUGCAGCGACGCCGCGUGAGGGAAGACGGUCUUCGGAUUGUACACCUCUUUUGUCAGGGAGCAACGCCGGCUACGUGUAGCCGGACUGAGAGUACCUGAAGCAAAAGCAUCGGCUAACUCCGUGCCAGCAGCCGCGGUAAUACGGAGGAUGCGAGCGUUAUCCGGAUUUAUUGGGUUUAAAGGGUGCGUAGGCGGAAUGCCAAGUCAGCGGUAAAAUCGCGGGGCUCAACCUCGCUCCGCCGUUGAAACUGGCGUUCUUGAGUGGGCGAGAAGUAUGCGGAAUGCGUGGUGUAGCGGUGAAAUGCAUAGAUAUCACCCAGAACUCCGAUUGCGAAGGCAGCAUACCGGCGCCCAACUGACGCUGAAGCACGAAAGCGUGGGUAUCGAACAGGAUUAGAUACCCCUGUAGUC
rnacentral:rRNA from 1 species